rnacentral:lncRNA from 1 species
CUGGAGGGAGGAGGGGCCCUGCCGAAGGCCCCGAUUGGCUGCUGCCAGCUGAGCGGCAGGUGCCUGGCCCGGAGAUGCUGCAGAUUUUCUGGCAGACCAGACGGGCUGAGCGCCAGCGAGCGGACAGGGAGGGGCAGGGCAGCUCGUUCCUCGCCCGGCAGAGACAGCAAGACAGAGGAGCGAUCAAAGUCCUUUGGAAAGGAGGAGGAUGGCCGAGAACCGUCCCAGAACACAAGCCCUCGGUCCCAAGUUGCAGUAUAGGGACAAGAGAGCAUCCUGCCAGCUACGGUUUCCAGUCUGUGUCUUUGCCNCUUGCUGAUUUGUCAGAAGCACAAGGAAAAACCGGUCAACGAUGUCGGCAGAGAGAAACGCAAAGCAGGAUGGCCAUAAAAGAGGACAUUUGCUGCCCUCAGAUGAAAACUGAGGGUAGGGGGCCAAUCAAGACCAGACCCCUCCCUUUUGCCGCGGUGUUCCGCCUUUAAACAGGAAGGGGCUGAGAGCCCCACCUACAGGGCUGCCUAGCCAGCACAUUGACUUUCGUCUUGGGGAAGGAGGGGGGACUUCCGCAUUUCCACUCUGCUGCCAGACCACCACCCUGUCCAAGAUGCAGCCCGGCCUGCCUCCUUCUGGGGCUCAGUGGGGGGGCAGGGAAGGCUGCAGGGCCUGCCUGGCAGCAGCUCCAGGUCCAGGCAGGAUUCCGAAUCUUUCAGCAGCCAAGCAGGGCCCUGGCCCACCCUCUCCACAGCCAACCGAGCUCGCUCGAGCAAGUAGAAGCGAGGCUGGGAGGGGCCACUGCNUCCAAGAAGUGCGGGAGCAGGGGGGCCCUUGGGAAUACGGUCACUAGAGGCCGGGAGAGCCACAGAGGCNGGCUGGCGGCUGAAAGGCCCCUCCCGUUGGCUCCCACGCGAAACUGAGAUCNCGGUUGCAACAGGACGGGGCGCUGCCCAACUGUUCCGAGAAGUCAGGGCCAUUGCGGGAGCCUGGCAGCGAUGGACACGCAAAGUCCNGAUCCAGCGGCCCACUGACUCUUUGCAAAGCACGGGGUGCUUCAGCAGCUUCUGGGGUACAAUGGUAGCAGCAGUUANGAGAUUGGGCGACCCAGAAGCUGCAGCAAAGCAAAGCAAGGGCUGCUGUCGCAGCCUCAGGGAAUGAGGCCUGGAAACCACUUGCUGGAUGCGUGCCAGCCGAGACCUGCCCAAACUGCAGCUCGAGGAGCCAUCAGCCGGAGACAGGAAAACUGAGGAUGUCCCCAGAUGGGAUAUGUUCAGAGUCGUAGAGCUGGAAGGGACUCCAGGGUCAUCGAGUCC